CACGUAGGGUCCGAGCGUUGUCCGGAAUUACUGGGCGUAAAGCGUGCGCAGGCGGUUGGGUCAGUCGCUGGUGAAAGCCCCACGCUCAACGUGGGAAUGGCCAACGAGACGGCCCGACUGGAGGCAGGGAGAGGCCGGUGGAAUUCCGGGUGUAGUGGUGAAAUGCGCAGAUAUCAGGAGGAACACCGAUGGCGAAGGCAGGUCUCUGGGCAUUAACUGACGCUGAGGAGCGAAAGCAUGGGGAGCGAACAGG
rnacentral:rRNA from 1 species